CGCGGCCUAUCAGCUUGUUGGUGGGGUAACGGCCUACCAAGGCGACGACGGGUAGCCGGCCUGAGAGGGCGACCGGCCACACUGGGACUGAGACACGGCCCAGACUCCUACGGGAGGCAGCAGUGGGGAAUAUUGCGCAAUGGGCGGAAGCCUGACGCAGCGACGCCGCGUGAGGGAUGACGGCCUUCGGGUUGUAAACCUCUUUCAGCAGGGACGAAGCGCAAGUGACGGUACCUGCAGAAGAAGCACCGGCCAACUACGUGCCAGCAGCCGCGGUAAUACGUAGGGUGCAAGCGUUGUCCGGAAUUAUUGGGCGUAAAGAGCUCGUAGGCGGCUUGUCACGUCGACUGUGAAAACCCGGGGCUCAACUCCGGGCCUGCAGUCGAUACGGGCUGGCUUGAGUGCGGUAGGGGAGACUGGAAUUCCUGGUGUAGCGGUGAAAUGCGCAGAUAUCAGGAGGAACACCGGUGGCGAAGGCGGGUCUCUGGGCCGUAACUGACGCUGAGGAGCGAAAGCGUGGGGAGCGAACAGGAUUAGAUACCCUGGUAGUCCACGCCGUAAACGUUGGGCGCUAGGUGUGGGGACCUAUCCACGGUCUCCGUGCCGCAGCUAACGCAUUAAGCGCCCCGCCUGGGAGUACGGA
rnacentral:rRNA from 1 species